rnacentral:misc_RNA from 1 species
GAUGAAGAACGUAGCGAAAUGCGAUAAGUAAUGCGAAUUGCAGAAUUCAGUGAAUCAUCGAAUCUUUGAACGCACAUUGCGCCCGCCAGUAUUCUGGCGGGCAUGCCUGUCUGAGCGUCGUUUCGACCCUCGCGCCCGGCUUCUGUCGGGGGCGGUGUUGGGGAUCGGCCACACCCUUCAGUGGGAGGCCGGCCCCUAAAUUCAGUGGCGACCACGCUGUAGCCUCCCCUGCGUAGUACUAAAACCACCUCGCAGGCGGAGAGCGGUGCGGCCCGCCGUAAAACCCCCCAACUUUUACAAGGUCGACCUCAGAUCAGGUAGGAAUACCAGCUGAACUUAAGCAUAUCAAUAAGCGGAGGA